AGAGUUUGCAUGUUUGGAAAGUUUACAGCAUUCUUUCCCUAUUUCUCCUUCUUUCAAUGGCACAAAUAAAUACACUACAUAGAAAUUUUCCCGAUUUUAAAGGCUCUAGGCGAUAUCUUUAUUAAUUCAACCUGAAAAUAUCAAGCCAUUAAAUUUUGUCUGGGUAGAAUAAAUCCCUGUGGCCUCCUUUAAAGCAAUGUAGGUCUCUGCUGCCCAUGGGGCAUAUCUGUGUCCCUACCCACAAGAGACAGGACCAACAAAGAACACAUGAGCAACAUACUCUUUCUCCCCAGAAAGAAGAAAGCAUGCAUGAGAAGGAGCAAAGGGGAGCACAGAGUCUCCCUCCCCUCCUGAAAUCCCUCUUUCCACCAUUGUUUUUACAAAUUACUUUUCACAGGAAGGCUCAGAAUACCUGAGUCUGCAAGGAUCAGGUUAACACUUGUAAAUUGUGACAAUCACUACAAUGUCCUAUAUCUUAAGGUUUCUUUCCUUUUUAAAAAUGCAAUUUAGCCACUAAUAGUAUUGCACAUUAGAGCUGCAUAAUCUUCCAACUCCAGGGAAGACUAAAACAUUGGACUUAUCCUAGGAUUCCUUUCCAAGGUCAUAAACAAGAAAGCCCUCCAAAUCAUGACACAUAAUCUCCUUUUCUUAUCGAAUACUCUUCCCUUGUUCUAGUCUUAAGUAUUACCCUUUACCCCUGAGGAUAGGGGCUGGGAAAAGGUGAUGAAAUCCUGGAACUGAACACCCCGCCCAUUUUCUCAAGAGCCUUUUGUAUUCUAGCAGAUCUGGGAGGUUCUUUCUUUUUUGCACAUGACACUGUAGGCUUAGUUCUGAGAAACUGGGCAAGAGAGAUGAGAUUUCUCAGCCAGAACUAACAGCGUUCAUCUCCCUUAGCAUGAACUUGAGCUUGCAGUGGAGUGGGAGGGCCUGAAGGAGGAAGGAGAGAAGGGACUAUAUUUGAAUAGGUAUUAAUAAAUUUAUUAGAUACUUUUCACAAUCAGAUAACUUUAAAAUGUUAUUUUUUAUCUUCUAAGGACAUAAGCCUUAACAACAUCAAAAUUUAGUCAUAAAUUUGAAGAUAUUCCCCAAUAAUAAGUUUAUAUAUAUACAUAUAUAUAUAUUUGAAAUAAAAAAUUGUUAGCCAUGUUUUUUUGCUCCAGGAUGUGUGGCCAUGCCAGGCUGUGAGCCCUGGAUAUGCACACAAACAAGUGUGUGUGCUCUGAAGCCCCCGCACAUUGUAAUAAACACAGCUGCAUUUAUUUGAGUAUGUGUUCCCGUGUACAUGUAAAAACAUCCAAACAAACACACUCAGCAGAUUUAUUUCAUGUGCAAUGGGGCAAUUAUUCAAAUAAAUAUGCUCAAUACAAUUAUUUGAGUCUCGCAUUUGCAUGCUCAUCACUCACAGAACUAAUACUAAAAGAGGGGGAAACACCAAAGAAUUUACGUGGGGGAAAAUAUAUGUGAAAGCAAUGUUAUUGUAGAUGUUAUAAGGUAGCCAAAGCUAUGGCUCCCUUCUUAACUGAAACACAAUGAUUUUGUAUUCAGUGGCAUUUGUUUCUAACGAUGAAUAGUUAUUUCACUCACUUGAUCAUUACAUCAGAAGGACUGCAGUGUUUAGAUUCAUAUAAUAGCAAACUUUAAGGACCUGAAGCAGAUAAGGAUGAGACAUCUCUAUAUUUCAAAAGCAGAAUAGUUCUUUCUACAUACUUUACAUCAAAGGAACACUGAUAAAUUAUUAUGGCUCACAUACGUAACUAUAAAUUUAAAAUGUUAUACAUAUAGAAAAACAUUCCUACAUUUUAAAACAUUAAAAAGUCACAGAUGACUCGUGUGAUCAUUUUAUAUAUUAAUAAAUACUACAAUAUAUAUGUGAACACAUUACAAAUCAUAUUGGUGAACAAAGAGGCUGUAAAGCCUCUCUUCAGUAUACUGACAUAACCUAAUAUACUAAAAUGGGAAGGGGCUUUUAGUCACUGAAUAUGCAUCGUGAAACAAAGAUGAAGAAACUACAUGGCUUGUGCCCAUCACGAAAAAGAUUCAUACUGAAGGCUUAGCUUUGGUUUUUAUUCAAUUAAAUUGUCAAACUGUGCACAGUGAACUUUUUUUUUUUUUUAGAACUUGAGACAUUUGUGAUGUUGGCUGUUUAAAUCUUUGUUACCUUCGCUGUGAAUUGAAAUUGUACAUAUUUAGUAAAUCAUGCAAACAAAACAAACUUUUU
rnacentral:lncRNA from 1 species